AGCACUUGUGUUUGUUUUUGUUCAAUUUGUGGGCAAAGACUACUUACAGGUGCAAAAAAUAAAUCCUCUUUUGAAACCAAGAACUCAUCAUUCAGUAUGAGUUUUGUUACAUGUAAGAAGGAACCUG